rnacentral:sRNA from 2 species
CCCAGAGGUAUUGAUAGGUGAAUUCUUCGGUACGGUUUUUCGUACCUUAUCUCUUGCACCAACCUGCGCAGAUGCGCAGGUUUUUUUU